UCCAGUGCACAGUAGUUCUUCAGUAUGUAUGUAUGUAUUUAUUUUUUUAGGGAAUUAACAAACAGACUUGAAACAAUCAGCAAUCUGAGGUCUCUGGGCCCCUCAGCUCAGCUCAUCUGGAUGUCGCUCCUUAAGCCAGCCUGGAUGAAGGGCUUACGCUGGAAAAUGAGAGGAAACCUGGCUGCUGUCUUCAGUAGCAUCUUAGCAGGAGCUGUACCUUAUCUGGGGCCCCAGGAAAAGUUCCACGGAAGCAAGAUUCCUGUGGGUGCGAUUCACCAGAGCUGCACCCGGGAGAGAUGUAAGCAGCCAUUCCGUGUCUGGAGCAUCUCUGAUCCUGGCGGGAUGAAUGGCAGAGCCCUGGCGAAGAGGUGAAGAGGCGGCUCUUGUGGGUAGUGCCAGGAUCGCCCAGCCCUGCUCUGUGUCCUCAGGGGCUGCGGGAGUCCGUGCAGCCCCAGCAUCCUGAUUCUUUCCCCAUACAGGCAUAGGUUAUGGGUUGUUCUGACGUGUCUGGACAUCACUCCUGUGGCUGUUAAGUCCUCCCCAGCUGUUCCGAUGAACGACUGGCUUCCAGAAACGCUCCUGCCCUCUGUGCCC